GACGAACGCUGGCGGCGUGCCUAAUACAUGCAAGUCGAGCGAGCUUGCCUAGAUGAAUUUGGUGCUUGCACCAGAUGAAACUAGAUACAAGCGAGCGGCGGACGGGUGAGUAACACGUGGGUAACCUGCCCAAGAGACUGGGAUAACACCUGGAUACAGAUGCUAAUACCGGAUAACAACACUAGACGCAUGUCUAGAGUUUAAAAGAUGGUUCUGCUAUCACUCUUGGAUGGACCUGCGGUGCAUUAGCUCGUUGGUAAGGCAACGGCUUACCAAGGCAGGGAUGCAUAGCCGAGUUGAGAGAGAGGUCGGCCACAUGGGGAGAGAGACAGAGCCGAAACACCGGCGGGGGGCAACAGUAGAGAAUCUUCCACGAGGGAGGCGUGUCUGAUAGAGCAACACCGCGGGAGUGAAGAAGGAUUUCGGCUCGUAGAGCUCUGAUGGUAGUAGGGAAAGAUAGAGGUAGUAACUGGGCUUUAUUUGACGGUAAUUGGAGAGAAAGUCACGGCUAACUACGUG
rnacentral:rRNA from 1 species